rnacentral:rRNA from 1 species
AUGGACAUCGAUCUCGAUGAUGUCCCGGAACAGGCGGUGCCGAUGUGGGGAGAAUGCCCGCAGAUGUACCUCUCGUACGGCACCGCCAUUCGCAACGACCGGCUCCCGAUGCUGAAGGACGCCGUCGCCAUCGUCAAGUCGUUCACGGUGCUGUCCCCGCCGAUGGGACUUGAUUUUUUCGGGGUCUUCGACGGGAUCUUGGGCUCCAUGUUCUCCAAGCUCAUGGAAGAGCGGCUGCACGUCGCCGUCGCUGAGGAGAUUAUGCGGGACCUGCUCGCCAAGGCCCCGCGGGAUCAAAACGACGUCGAGGGCUGGUGGAAGACACUCAUCGUGGACGCUUUCCGCCAGGUGGACAAAGAGGUGCUCAUCGGUGGCGGUAGUGGCAUCGAUGCUCCUGCGCGCGUCGGCUCCGGGGCUCUCGCCGUGCUGGUUCUGGAGGACUACUUCGUGCUCGCCAACCGCGGCGCUUCUAGGGCCGUGAUCUACCGCGGCUAUGAGGCCGUGCCGCUCACCCCCGAGCACACGCCUAUGCCACAAAACGGAGGAGGUGAUGUGGCCAGCAGACUUGAACAGAUUAUGCGUCGCCGCGCUUUUCGGAGCUCAAAGUUUAGGGCUACUGUCGCUGUCCCGGAACCUGAGGUCGUCGCAGUGAAGCGGAAGCCAGGGGACAAGUUCCUGAUCCUGGCCACCAGUGCGCUCUGGGACGUCGUCACUCCAGGCGACGCGUGCGCCUUCAUCCAGAGAAGAUUGAGCAUGCCACGGAUCAUCAUGUCGUGGGACAAGAAGCCAACAAACAGCAGCGGCCCUCCCUGUGCGAAGGCACUUGCCAGUGAGUUGGCCGCGCACGCGAUCAGCAAGGGCACCAAGCGCAACGUGAACAUCGUCCUCAUACUGCUCAAGAAUUUCUGGGAUCUUCCCUGA